GUCCAAAUCAAUAAAUAGAUCUAACAUAGUUCCCAACUCUGAAAUCUAAAGAUUCUACUUACUCAUGUUAAUGUAUAUAAGAAAAAUUGAUGAAGAAGAAGAGAGAAACAUGAAAAUAGGCUGCAAAUAGAAAGGCUAGGUCGAAGAACCCAAGAUUUCUGAAUUCUAUAGCUCUAGAUGUCUCUAGUAGCUACACUUGCCCAAAAAAUCAAUGGCG
rnacentral:misc_RNA from 1 species